UGGGGAAUAUUGGACAAUGGGGGGAACCCUGAUCCAGCAAUGCCGCGUGUGUGAAGAAGGCCUGAGGGUUGUAAAGCACUUUUAGUGGGGAGGAGGCUUGAUAGGUUAAGAGCUAAUUAAGUGGACGUUACCCACAGAAACAGCACCGGCUAACUCCGUGCCAGCAGCCGCGGUAAUACGGAGGGUGCAAGCGUUAAUCGGAAUUACUGGGCGUAAAGGGUGCGUAGGUUGUUGUGUAAGCUAGUUGUGAAAUACCUGGGCUCAACCUGGGAUGGUCAACUAGGACUGCAUGACUAGAGUAUGGUAGAGGGUAGUGGAAUUUCCGGUGUAGCGGUGAAAUGCGUAGAGAUCGGAAGGAACACCAGUGGCGAAGGCGGCUACCUGGACUAAUACUGACACUGAGGCACGAAAGCGUGGGGAGCAAACAGG
rnacentral:rRNA from 1 species